rnacentral:rRNA from 1 species
UACGAAGGGGGCGAGCGUUGUUCGGAAUUACUGGGCGUAAAGGCGCGUAGGCGGCCGAGCAAGUUAGAUGUGAAAGUCCUGGGCUUAACCUGGGGACUGCAUUUGAUACUGCUUGGCUUGAAUUCGGGAGAGGAUAGCGGAAUUCCCAGUGUAGAGUGAAAUUCGUAGAUAUUGGGAAGAACACCGGUGGCGAAGGCGGCUAUCUGGACCGACAUUGACGCUGAGGCGCGAAACGUGGGGAGCAAACAGGG